rnacentral:rRNA from 1 species
GUUUGAUCAUGCUCAGGAUGAACGCUGGCGGCGUGCCUAACACAUGCAAGUCGAGCGAUUCUCUUCGGAGAAGAGCGGCGGACGGGUGAGUAACGCGUGGGUAACCUGCCCUGUACACACGGAUAACAUACCGAAAGGUAUGCUAAUACGGGAUAAUGUACUUUUGUCGCAUGGCAGAAGUAUCAAAGCUCCGGCGGUACAGGAUGGACCCGCGUCUGAUUAGUUAGUUGGAGAGGUAAUGGCUCACCAAGGCAACGAUCAGUAGCCGACCUGAGAGGGUGAUCGGCCACAUUGGAACUGAGACACGGUCCAAACUCCUACGGGAGGCAGCAGUGGGGAAUAUUGCACAAUGGGCGAAAGCCUGAUGCAGCAACGCCGCGUGAGCGAUGAAGGCCUUCGGGUCGUAAAGCUCUGUCCUCAAGGAAGAUAAUGACGGUACUUGAGGAGGAAGCCCCGGCUAACUACG